UGUGUGUGUGUGUGUGUAAAUAUAUUGUUUGCUCAAAAGUUUUGUAAUAUUUUGGUAACUUAUAAGCUUUAUUUGCCAAAUUACAACAAAAGCAGCCCAGCAUCGAAAGCAGAGGCCAUCGUGUUGCAGCGUCUGAAGCCACCUUU